rnacentral:tRNA from 1 species
CCGCUGAUAGUGUAGCGGGUAGAGCGCUCGGCUGUUGACCGGCACGUUACAAGUUCGAACUGUGCUUAGUGCG